rnacentral:tRNA from 1 species
CAGUAGUUUCAGGCAAAAGUUUUGAUAGACUCAUAAUCUGGAGGUCCCAGGUUCAAGCCCUGGCUGGUCCA